GUGUUURGUUUUGAGGGAGCGAGAGCUCUCUCGAAGGACCUUGGCAAGUGCAUAGGGAGUAUGGAAAGGUGAAGCUAGGAAGGGCACACGGUGGAUGCCUAGGCGCCAAGAGCCGACGAAGAGCCGACGAAGGACGGGGCGAAC
rnacentral:misc_RNA from 1 species